rnacentral:rRNA from 1 species
AGAGUUUGAUCCUGGCUCAGAAUGAACGUUGGCGGCGUGGAUUAGGCAUGCGAGUCGCGCGAGAAUGUAGCAAUACAGGAAAGCGGCGAAAGGGAGAGGACAACAUGGGAAUCUGCCCGGGGGCCGGGGAUAGCUACGGGAAACUGUAGGUAAUACCCGAUAAGGUCUACGGACCAAAGGUUUACUGCCCCUGGAUGAGCCCAUGCCCCAUUAGCUUGUUGGCGGUGUAAUAGACCACCAAGGCGAUGAUGAGUAGCUGGUGUGAGAGCACGACCAGCCUCACUGGCACUGAGACACUGGCCAGACACCUACGGGUGGCUGCAGUCGAGAAUCUUCGGCAAUGGACGAAAGUCUGACCGAGCGACGCCGCGUGCGGGAUGAAGGCCUUCGGGUUGUAAACCGCUGUCGAGGGGGAUUAAGGGCAACUUGAAUGAACCCUGGAGGAAGGAGAGGCUAAGCUCGUGCCAGCAGCCGCGGUAAGACGAGCUCUCCAAACGUUAUUCGGUAUCACUGGGCUUAAAGAGUUCGUAGGCGGCUUUGUAGGUGGGGUGUGAAAGCCCUCGGC